AAAGUUUUAGAAAAAUAUCAGUUUUUUAAUAUAUAGACGGAUUCAAUAUUUAACUAUUGUUUUUUUCAUAAAAUUUGGUAGAAAUGAUUAAUUAGAUUAACGGAACAAUUUUUAAUCCACUAAAAUGUAUAAGCAAAAGAUUAUUAUAUUUUAAAUAAAUUUUUAUGAUAUAUUAUUUUAGAGAUUAAUUGUUAUGCACUGUCGGUGUAAAAAAU
rnacentral:lncRNA from 1 species